AGAGUUUGAUCAUGGCUCAGGACGAACGCUGGCGGCGUGCUUAACACAUGCAAGUCGAGCGAGAGCUUUCGGGUUCUAGCGGCGAACGGGUGAGUAACACGUGAGCAACCUGCCUUCCGCUCUGGGAUAGCCUCCGGAAACGGGGAUUAAUACCGGAUAGGACUUCCCGGCUCAUGCCGGGGGGUGGAAAGUUUUUCGGCGGGAGAGGGGCUCGCGGCCUAUCAGCUUGUUGGGGGGGUGACGGCCCACCAAGGCGACGACGGGUAGCCGGCCUGAGAGGGCGACCGGCCGCACUGGGACUGAGACACGGCCCAGACUCCUGCGGGAGGCAGCAGUGGGGAAUAUUGCGCAAUGGGCGGAAGCCUGACGCAGCGACGCCGCGUGGGGGAUGAAGGCCUUCGGGUUGUAAACCUCUUUCAGCAGGGGCGAAUGUGACGGUACCUGCAGAAGAAGCGCCGGCUAACUACGUGCCAGCAGCCGCGGUAAUACGUAGGGCGCGAGCGUUGUCCGGAUUUAUUGGGCGUAAAGAGCUCGUAGGCGGCUUGUUGCGUCUGCCGUGAAAUCUGGGGGCUUAACCCUCAGCGUGCGGUGGAUACGGGCAGGCUGGAGGCAGGCAGGGGAGAACGGAAUUCCCGGUGUAGCGGUGAAAUGCGCAGAUAUCGGGAGGAACCCGGUGGCGAAGGCGGUUCUCUGGGCCUGUUCUGACGCUGAGGAGCGAAAGCGUGGGGAGCGAACAGGAUUAGAUACCCCCGUAGUCC
rnacentral:rRNA from 1 species